GAUGAGCGCUGGCGGCGUGCUUAACACAUGCGAGUCGAACGAGAAAUGGAGACGGAAACCUUCGGGCGGAAGGCUUCAUUUCGAGUGGCGGACGGGUGAGUAACGCGUGGGUAACCUGCCUCAUACAGGGGGAUAACAGUUGGAAACGACUGUUAAUACCGCAUAAGACCACAGCACCGCAUGGUGCGGGGGUAAAAACUCCGGUGGUAUGAGAUGGACCCGCGUUCGAUUAGCCAGUUGGCGGGGUAACGGCCCACCAAAGCGACGAUCGAUAGCCGAUCUGAGAGGAUGACCGGCCACAUUGGGACUGAGACACGGCCCAAACUCCUACGGGAGGCAGCAGUGGGGAAUAUUGCACAAUGGGGGAAACCCUGAUGCAGCGACGCCGCGUGAGUGAAGAAGUACUUCGGUAUGUAAAGCUCUAUCAGCAGGGAAGAAAAUGACGGUACCUGAGUAAGAAGCCCCGGCUAACUACGUG
rnacentral:rRNA from 1 species